CCUACGGGAGGCAGCAGUGGGGAAUAUUGCACAAUGGGGGAAACCCUGAUGCAGCGACGCCGCGUGAGUGAAGAAGUAUUUCGGUAUGUAAAGCUCUACCAGCAGGGAAGAAAUAAAGUCCUUCGGACUUUGGACGGUACCUGACUAAGAAGCCCCGGCUAACUACGUGCCAGCAGCCGCGGUAAUACGUAGGGGGCAAGCGUUAUCCGGAUUUACUGGGCGGAAAGGGAGCGUAGACGGUGCAGCAAGUCUGAUGUGAAAGGUCGGGGCCCAACCCCGGGACUGAAUUGGAAACUGUUGAACUGGAGUGCAGGAGAGGUAAGUGGAAUUCCUAGUGUAGCGGUGAAAUGCGUAGAUAUUAGGAGGAACACCAGUGGCGAAGGCGGCUUACUGGACUGUAACUGACGUUGAGGCUCGAAAGCGUGGGGAGCAAACAGGAUUAGAUACCCUAGUAGUC
rnacentral:rRNA from 1 species